UACGUAGGGCGCAAGCGUUAUCCGGAAUUAUUGGGCGUAAAGAGCUCGUAGGCGGUUUGUCGCGUCUGCCGUGAAAGUCCGGGGCUCAACUCCGGAUCUGCGGUGGGUACGGGCAGACUAGAGUGAUGUAGGGGAGACUGGAAUUCCUGGUGUAGCGGUGAAAUGCGCAUAUAUCAGGAGGAACACCGAUGGCGAAGGCAGGUCUCUGGGCCAUUACUGACGCUGAGGAGCGAAAGCGUGGGGAGCGAACAGG
rnacentral:rRNA from 1 species